rnacentral:lncRNA from 1 species
UUUCACUUUCCCUACUGCUAUCCGUAGUACAAUCUAGAAACUCCUACUAUUAGAACUAAUUAUGAUCCUCCUUUCCAUUGCUCCUCUAGAGACAUUGAAUUCGUUUUCUUUCAGAUUUCUCCGGUUGAUUUCAAGUUAGUUGUAAUUUCUUUAUCUUCCAAUUAGUGAGUUUUCUGCAUUUUCUUCUUUGUUUAACGCACCCGGCUAUUGAUGAUGGCACUUUAAUUGAAAUCUGUUAAUUUUUGUGCUCCUUUGAAUAUUUUUCUGUUGGAUCUCUACAUGUAUAGUGAUGAUAGUAUCAAUUUGUACAUUGGUUUGGUUUGAAAACAGGUGCACAAUUCAAUUUUUUGGAUAAUCAAAGUUAAUGCUUCUUCCCUUAACGAAAAUCGCAACAGAUUGUACACUUAAUUUGGUGAUUCAGAUGAAUUUCUCUAUUUACUAUCUCCUUUAACUGGUAAGUAAAGCUACUAUUGAUUUUGCGUUGUGUGAGGAAUAGUAAAUUUCCCCAAAAGGUACUGAAAUUAUACAUUUCUUCGAAGCUUUUCAAGAUUAUUGAAGCAUUCAGGGUUUCCAUUGGCUGUCAUUCUAGCUUCACUCUCGAAAAAUAUUAUGCGUACUCUAAUUUUUUCAGUUCUGCUAAGUUUUCUUUCCCCUAUUUUUCCCUUUUUAGGUUCACCCAAUUAUUAAUUAUGAAAUUUUACGGGGUAUCAAUUUGAAUAAUGCUGCACUGAGGUUGUUUGACAAUAUUCUUGAAACAACUGGGUGAUAUUUUUACUUUUUUUAAAGUGCGUUUCUGUUGCAAAUUGAGCUUUACUUCUCUUUUAAUUCCAAAUUUAUAUGGGAUUUCUCAUAUUAUUGCACAUGUAAG